UCGGAAGGGGAGCAGGCAAGUCUCGUCCGGUGGGCGGUGUCGGUGCUGUGUUGUUCGCCGCCACUCAAAUCCGCCGCCACUCAAAUCAAAGCUCGGCGGAACCGCCAGAGUUGGGAGGCGCACAGGGUCGCGCGGUGACGUUGCGUGCAUCGGCAAGUGACGAGGCAGUUCUUCGAUCAAAAUAUCCCCGAGGUAAGCGCCGCCUAUAUCUGAUUCAUGUGCCUCUCUGUUGGGUUUGUGAUUCCUCACGAGGUACUGAAGGAUUUCGCGGGUGCGGUCGGGGUGACGCCGGCGAUUUAUGGUCCUGAUUUAGCAUGCUCCUCGGCGGGGGCGAAGGUCUAUUGCAAGCAACGAGUGGGGUGGGGGACGGGGGGCAUUUAUCCACCGGAUUGGUGACAUUUCUAGGAAGGGGAGGGGGUGGGGACAUGGGGUGCGGUAGAAGAGCUUGCGGAUGUCCGUGAGGUCCGAGGUCUAUAUGCAGGGGGCGAGGCGAUGGUGAAUUUGUUUGGAUGUUGACUAUAGUAUUCUCCUCGAAGUAGUGCUGGCAGCAGGCGCGUUUGGAAGGGUUGGAGGUGGAACUUGCCGGACAUACAUUAGGAGUUGCCAGAUUUUGUUGUACGAGUUUCCAGAUAUGUUGUUUUGAGUUUGGGUUUUCCCCCUUUUUCACAAAACUUGCAUGUCGAUUGAUAAGUGCCCAAUGUACUGAUGCUAGGCUUAACAUGGAGACUGCUUAAAUUUUUGUUUUGCUACUCAAUGCUAGGCUUAAUAUUUAACAUGAACUUGUUUGCUUAUGUGGUGGUUUUACAUUCACACUCAAUGUACAGAUGCAAGCGCAAGCGAUUGUCCCCGGCGAUCUCAGAUUUUUUUCGCCCAUAUACUGAUGCAAGUGAUCCUCUACUACCCAGGAGGUACUGAUUUGGUUUCAUUUUUUACUUUUUUGUGCCUCUGCCAUCCGACAUCACUCAAACUGAAAACUGGGAGCAGAGGAGUAUGUUCUGUUUUUUGUGUGUGGAGUUGCCGGAUAUGCAGGCGUGGGUGUGUUUUGUUAUUACAAACUGUUGCUAAAACCUCUAGGUAGUGGGUGCGUUUUGUGAUUACAAAUUGUUGUUGCCACAUGGUGCGUCUCUCUGUAUGUGUACUGUUUGAUCGCUAGCCAGUCGUUAAUAGCCAUGCCACCAUAUGGGUCCAUGUCACUUCUGCUAUUGCCAAGCAUGGCAUGACAAUUUUAUUCUGUGGAGCUUGGUGUGUGUUCUUUCAUAGUACUAGGUAACCUGUUUGAAGUGAGUAGUAAACAUGGGUAGCAUAAACUUUAGAUUCUAAGCGUUAAUGAGAGCUGAAAAUGUCACAUAUACAUGAUCUACUGCUUGCAUAAAAAUAAUACUGGUUAGGAACCGGUUGAUUUUGCCCUACUGUUUAUUUUCCUUCCUCGCCACAGUUCCUUCUCUGUCCACCCAUAUGUGCAGGAUAAUUUUUUUCCCUACACUGAAAUAUGAACUCCACUAAAUGGAUUUGGAAGAUGCAGUUUUAAAUCCCUUCUGAUUUUUCCAGUGUUUGCCGAUUUGCGGGAGGGCGACAGUGAGGACUGCAUGGACAAGCAGUGGCAAGUGGGACAGGCAUGAGGACCUAUUCACCGCUCUAAGAGGGACAUCGAAGGAACUAGAAGUGGAGGGCACAGUGACACCAUGUUCGUUCGUCUUCAUGAGGUAAAUCCUUUCUCUUUCUCCAUGACGUCUGAACUAUUUUUUUGGGGUGCAGCAAACCAUUGUUGUACCUCAAAGUCGGCAUUUUAUCAGAGAUGUUUAAGAGGGGUGUGGGGUGGGCAGUUGGCUGGCAGAGGCUAGGAGUUGCCAGAUAUGCAGGUGUGGGUUCCCAUAUAUGCAGUUGCCAGAUAUGUGGGCGUGUGGUUCCCCCAUUUUGAGAAAACUUGCAUAACAAUUGAUAAGUAGUUGCUUGUUUUUGCUUUUCAACUUGCCUAAUGUUUGUUACUUAGUUGCCUGACAUGGUUCAUAAUGAGCUUUUAAUGGUUUUGUUACUUGGGUGGCUUUGAGUUUUUCCAAAACUUGCCCAGCACUCUGUAGGUAGUUGCCUCAGUUAACACACGAACUUUGAUCGUGUGUUAUUUUUCCUUCACAUUUUCAUCAUAUGGUUCAGAACUUGCUAGUCCUUUUUAGUCAGUGUCCUGAAAGUUUCAUACAAGCCACCUGAACUUGCUAGUCCAUUUUAAGCAUCCACAUGCUUCUUUUUUCAGGCAACUCACACACAUAUAUCGAAGUUCACAAACACAACGCACACAUAAUCAUUUGGAAUAAAAACCAGGGGUUAGGCAAGUCCACACUACUAGACCAGGCAAUUGACACACAGAACAAACAGGUUAAACACACAUGAUAGGUCACAUACAAAUGUUAGGCACAUACCUAGGGGGGUAGGGGAUUGUGUGUCAAGAAAAUUACACAUGUGGAACAGGCAAGUCACAUUCAAACGUCACGCAAGUAACAUACUCAACACUAGCAAGUCACAUUUAAAUGUCAAGCGAGUCACAUACUCAACAUUAAAUGCAAGUAAGUUCUUCUUCUUUUCCCCUUUUCAAAAGCCCACAUGGUUUGUUUGACAUUUGAGUAGGGUGUAGGAUUUUCUUUACAUUUCAAUGUGACUUGCUAGUGUUAAGUGUGUGACUUGCCUGUUGUUUUUUGGCAAACUCUGUGACUUUGCAUGUUUCUAAAUGUGUGAUUCACCUGACACACACCAUCCUGCGGAGCUUAGUUCCUUACUAUCUACGGGGGGUGAGGUGUGCUUGAUUACCCGAUUUUGCAUUUGAACUUGCCUAAGAAACCUCGGUAUUUGCCUAGAAUUAUUUUUCCAGUUAUUACGGUAAAAUUGAAUAUAAAGAGCCCAAUAGGUCAAUUAAUGACAACAUAUCACAAAUUGCUUAAUGGCAGCACUGGAUUUGCUUAUAAACAAACCUAUAGAAGUUGUUGCCCUUUAUUUGGCCAGAACCAUUUUUUUGUACAAAGGCAAACUAAGAAUGGCAGGCUUUUGUGAUUUUUCUUUCUCCUACCCAUUACAUUUUCUCUUAAAAGCGCCCCAAUAGUUGCUCACCCCCCCCCUUCACAUCAAGUUCUAGCACGCACGAGCACACAUGAGUUGCUUACUGGCAACACUGAUUUUGCUUAAACAAACCUUAGAAGUUGCAUCUCUUUUUUCUUCUUUCAACACACUUCUAGUACAAAAAGCACCUAAGGAAAACAUUUAUUUUCAUUUACAACAACCAGUAGUUGGACAAAGAAAACUGAAACAGUUAUCAUGUACUGACAUGACUUGCUUAUUGUCAAUAUGAUUUGCUUAAAAAACCCCUAUAGUUGCUCACACUUUCCCCCAUACACAUCAAGUUCUAGCAUGCGCGAACACACAAGAGUUGCUUACCACCAACACUGAUUUUGCUUAAAGAAGCCCUAGAACUUGGCUGCUCUAUUUUUGUUUUCUCAAUACAUUCCUCGUACAAGAAGCAACCUAACAAAAGCAUUAAGGGGUUUCUCUGGUAGUACAAUAGCCAGUAGUUGGAGAAAGGAAAAUGAAACAGUACUGUCAAGACUUGCCUUUUGUCAAUACUUGACUUGCUUGAAAAAAUGCUACAGUUGCUCACUAAUUUGCCUAAACAACAAAAAGUUGCGUUGAACAUGAACUAGGACUUCCAAUUUAGCAUGGCAUUUUCUUAUUCCCACAAAGUAACUCAUGUACUUAAUUGUAGGCAAGUCCAGGUUCAUGUUCAAGCAACUUGUGUGUCAUUCCGGCUCACACUCGUGAGCCUCAUGCCUUCAUAAGUUGGCUAAUUUUUUUCAUGUGAAGGAGAUAGCCAUUUGCGAUUUGCCUGAACUAGCAGAAAUUGCUUACUACUGAUGCACAAGCAUAUACUUAGUAUUAGCUAGCUUAUGGCUAUGACCAGCAAAACUUGAUUUGCUGCAUGGUGUUGGACGCAAAGGAAGAUGUUGUUGAUAAUUAAUUCAUGCAAUGGAUUUAGUCAUUGGACAUCAUAAGUACUUGCAAGUAGAACUGUAGAAGCAAAUAUAGUUGCAUGCAUUUUAUGGUCGUUCUUGAUUGCAGGCAAGUCCUUGUUCAUGGUCAAGCAACUUGUGUGUAUUUAGAUAUGGUUGUGGCUAUCAUUUUCUUCUAUUUUUUCCAAGAAACUUUGUGACAUAUGUCUGGCAACUCCUGGUCUACGAUCAAGCAACUGUUGUGCAGUUAGGCAAGAGGCAGCUAGCUUAUUAUUAUUAUUUUCAAAAGCAACUAUGUGUGCUUGUUUCUACAGGCAAAUCCUGGUUCAUGUCUAAGAAAAGUUGGUUGGGAAAAUGAAAAUAGGGGGAGGUGGGGGAGGGGUUGAUAAACAUGUCAAAAUAGGGGUUUUGCGGAGUGUUUUUAGUCCUUUUCUUGGGAUUCUUAGAAUGAAACUUCUUUAGCUGUCUCCAAUGAAAAUGGGGAUUUAAUCUCUCAAAAAUCCAGCAAAAACCUCCAACAAUCCAAAAAACCAAGAGUUGCCUCAAAACAAUCACACAAGUUGGUUACGACGACAUUACAACUUGUGUAGCAGCAACAAACUAGCUAAAACUUUGCCUACUAGCCGAUGUACACAACUACUACAACCUAAUUGAUUGUUCUCUUUUUCGUAACUGCUCAUUUGCAGGGGGAGACGGUAUGUAUAGGUGGUACUUGCAGGGAUGAACUGAUGAGAUUUUUUUUGGUUUUUCUCCUGCUUUUUUUCAGUGCACAACAAUGGUUGUCAGUUGAAGGGGUGAAGCUCUCAUCUGGAAAGAGAUUUGGGAUGAAGAAGACCAGCGGAUGCUGGGGAAAGAACGAAGGUGUCAGUUCGGUGAGGGGGGAAGGGCAAUGUGGAGCAUGGGGGAGGGGAAGAGCUCACGUGUUUCCCCCCUGCACGUGAUCGGGAGCACGGACCAGGAGAGUUUCCUUUUGUGGUCGGGAGACUAAAGGGGGACAAUUUUUAAACUAAAAUGGAAAGUGUGCCACGGGACG
rnacentral:lncRNA from 1 species